CAGCAGCCACGGUAAUACGAAGGGUGCAAGCGUUACUCGGAAUUACUGGGCGUAAAGCGUGCGUAGGUGGUGGUUUAAGUCCGUUGUGAAAGCCCUGGGCUCAACCUGGGAAUUGCAGUGGAUACUGGGUCACUAGAGUGUGGUAGAGGAUAGUGGAAUUUCCGGUGUAGCAGUGAAACGCGUAGAGAUCGGAAGGAACAUCUGUGGCGAAGGCGACUAUCUGGGCCAACACUGACACUGAGGCACGAAAGCGUGGGGAGCAAACAGGAUUAGAUACCCGCGUAGUCCCUGUCUCUUAUAC
rnacentral:rRNA from 1 species